UACCCCAUGGCCAAGCGGUAAGGCAACGGAUUCUGAUUCCGUCAUGCUCAGGUUCGAAUCCUGAUGGGGUAAUCA
rnacentral:tRNA from 1 species